AGUCUGAAAAAUAAAAAUGACCUCAUAGAGAGUCUUAGCCAAUCACUGCACAGCAGAGAGAACGUAAUCCAGGUAAGUACUGAAUCAAUGAACUCAUUAUAGAUUCAGGAUAAAAACGGAUUGUGUGGAGGUCACGGAUGUGUCAGUGAACUCUGUGCUUCCCUCACUUCAGGAAUGUGUGACUUUGAUCCAGAAGCUGUGUGCUGAGCAGGGGCUGGAAUCACAGGACACUGACAAACUCGUCAAAAAACUGGCCAGCGCAGUGACUGAUACACGCAGUGAACGCGAGGUGGUCCUGGAGGCCCAGCUGUCUGAGGUGAGCGAAAAAGAGAAAACUCUGGAGAAACAGCUGCAGGCCAUGAGAGACGCUGGCAGAGAGAGAGACAGAGACUUCAUCACACUCAACACUGUGCUCCAGUGUAACCAGGAUGUUAUUAACCACCUGCGUGUAGAGCUUGCGGAGAGGGAUCGAGCCCAACAGGAGAUUAUGAAAGAAUGGGAAGUGUGGAAAGAGAGAGAUUCAGCUCUGACUGCACUGGUGAAGGAGAACAAAGACUAUAUUUCCCAGCUAAAAGAGGCACUGGAGAGUUCACGCAGAGAUGUGCAGGCACUCUCAGACUCACUGAUUGGACGGGGAUUGGAAGGGGGCGGAGCUGAGGCUGGAUUAGUCAAUCAGCUGCGAGAGAAAGAAGCUCUGCUGGCAGCGAGCUUCAGAGAUAGAGAGGAGCUCAGCGCCACCAUGCUGCAGGAGAUCUCAAGCCUCUCAUCGGCCUUAACUGAUGCUGAAAGCAUCAUACUGGUAUGGAAGUUCUAAGCGGCCAUGCAUUAUUUUUUUUUUCCUUCUUGUUUCUCGUUAUAACAACUUAUUUUCUCGUUAUAUCGACAUAACGAGAGUUGUUUUCUCGUUAUAACGACUUAUUUUCUCGUUAUAUCGACAUAACGAGAGUUGUUUUCUCGUUAUAACGACUUAUUUUCUCGUUAUAUCGACAUAACGAUAGUUGUUUUCUCAUUAUAACAACUUAAUUUUCUCGGUAUCUCGAC
ensembl:lncRNA